ACUACGAUUUCUUCGGAAUGACGGUCUUGUGACUGAGUGGCGGACGGGUGAGUAACGCGUGGGUAACCUACCUCACACAGGGGAAUAACAGUUAGAAAUGACUGCUAAUACCGCAUAAGCGCACGGUACCGCAUGGUACAGUGUGAAAAACUCCGGUGGUGUGAGAUGGACCCGCGUCUGAUUAGCUAGUUGGUGAGGUAACGGCCCACCAAGGCGACGAUCAGUAGCCGGCCUGAGAGGGUGAACGGCCACAUUGGAACUGAGACACGGUCCAAACUCC
rnacentral:rRNA from 1 species